AGCGUGCCCGGGGCGAGCGCCUGCAAGAGGUUGUUCCCCAGGUACAGCUCUUCCAGCCGCGAGAGCUUCUCGAAGGUCUUGGGGUGCAGAGAGCGGAUCUGGUUGUACUGCAGGUCCAGCCGUCUGAGCUGCCCCAGACGGUGGAAGUCGAAGGCCGUGAUGUUGGUUAUGAAGUUGCCGCCGAGGCUGUAGGUGCCACCCUGCGGGAAGUUUGGGCAGCACGGAGUCCGCCAGCAUUCUACAGGAAGUUUGGGGGAGCACAAGGUUGCCUGCAGAAGGCCAUCAGAAGGGGGAGAGAAUGAAAUGGAAAUAAUGUUCUGGGACUUUUGAGUACAGGCCUUAAAAGGACUGGCAUCUUCUGCUUUUCCAUUUGGAACACCAGCCUGCUGUAUUGUGGAAAAGUCCAGGCCAGGACACUACAUGAUUAGAGGUGGUAUGGAGAGAGCACUGGAGGAGAGGAGAUCAUCUUGGAUGUCCCAGCUUUAGCCAAACUCCCAGCUGAAUGCAGCUGCACAUGUGACCUCAGCCUACCCCAUCUGAAUCAGACCCACCCAGCUGAGCUCACUCAAUCCAC
rnacentral:lncRNA from 1 species